rnacentral:rRNA from 1 species
AACGAAAAAGUGGCGCACGGGUGCGUAACGCGUAUGCAACCUACCUUAUUCAGGGGGAUAGCCCGAAGAAAUUCGGAUUAACACCGCAUAAAAUCACAGCUCAGCAUUGAGUAAUGAUCAAAUAUUUAUAGGAAUAAGAUGGGCAUGCGUGUCAUUAGCUAGUUGGCGGGGUAACGGCCCACCAAGGCGACGAUGACUAGGGGAUCUGAGAGGAUGACCCCCACACUGGUACUGAGACACGGACCAG